rnacentral:rRNA from 1 species
UACGGGGGGGGGCAAGCGUUGUUCGGAAUUACUGGGCGUAAAGGGCUCGUAGGUGGCCAACUAAGUCAUACGUGAAAUCCCUCAGCUUAACUGGGGAACUGCGUCUGAUACUGGAUGGCUUGAGUUUGGGAGAGGGAUGCGGAAUUCCAGGUGUAGCGGUGAAAUGCGCAGAUAUCGGGAAGAACACCCGUGGCGAAGGCGGCUCUCUGGGCCGAUACUGACGCUGAGGAGCGAAAGCGUGGGGAGCGAACAGG